AACGAACGCUGGCGGCAGGCUUAACACAUGCAAGUCGAGCGCAUCCUUCGGGGUGAGCGGCGGACGGGUGCGUAACGCGUGGGAACGUGCCCUCUUCUACGGAAUAGCCCAGGGAAACUUGGAUUAAUGCCGUAUACGCCCUUCGGGGGAAAGAUUUAUCGGAGGAGGAUCGGCCCGCGUUGGAUUUGGUAGUUGGUGAGGUAACGGCUCACCAAGCCGACGAUCCAUAGCUGGUUUGAGAGGAUGAUCAGCCACACUGGGACUGAGACACGGCCCAGACUCCUACGGGAGGCAGCAGUGGGGAAUCUUGGACAAUGGGGGAAACCCUGAUCCAGCCAUGCCGCGUGAUCGAUGAAGGCCCUAGGGUUGUAAAGAUCUUUCAGCUGGGAAGAUAAUGACUGUACCAGCACAAGAAGCCCCGGCUAACUCCGUGCCAGCCGCCGCCGUAAUAC
rnacentral:rRNA from 1 species